rnacentral:sRNA from 1 species
AGCCGCACUUAUAGAAUCGGGAAACUCAUCAAUUUAGAAAGAAAUACCGAGAACAGCUUCAUUUUCCAAUGGCGGGCCACGCCUUCGGGUAGCAUUUAUGCCGGUGGAUUACAAAGGAAAUGGGCACUCAAAUCAUGUUUUAUCGGAGUUUCGUCACGUCUAAGGGUGCGGCUUUUU